rnacentral:rRNA from 1 species
GUCCUUUAGAAUUUAAUUUAAGGUCUAGCCUGCCCACUGAAAUUUAUUUUAAAUGGCCGCAGUAAUUUGACUGUGCAAAGGUAGCAUAAUCAUUAGUUUUUUAAUUGAAAGCUUGUAUGAAAGGUUGGACGAGGUAAAAUCUGUCUCUAAUUAAUUUAAUUUAGAAUUUAACUUUUAAGUCAAAAGGCUUAGAUAUAAUUAAAAGACGAGAAGACCCUAUAGAUCUUUAUAAUUUAUUUAUUAAAUUUAAUUAAGAAUUUUUUAAAUUUUAUUAAUUUAAUUAUUUUAUUGGGGUAAUAUAAAGAUUAAAUUAAUUCUUUUUUUUUAUUAACAUUAAUUUAUGGUUUUAUGAUCCAAUUUUAUUGGCUAUAAGAUUAAGUUACCUUAGGGAUAACAGCGUUAUUUUUUUAGAGAGUUCUUAUCGAUAAAAAAGUUUACGACCUCGAUGUUGGAUUAAAGAUUAUUUCAGGUGUAGAAGUUUGAAAAUUUUGGUCUGUUCGACCAUUAAAUCUUUACAUGAUCUGAGUUCAGACCGGUGUAAGCCAGGUCGGUUUCUAUCUUUAAUAAAUUAAAAUAUUUUAGUACGAAAGGACCAAUUAUUUAAUAUAAAGUAUUUAAAUUUUGAUUAUUAUUAA